rnacentral:lncRNA from 1 species
AUCAGUCAAAAAAUUAGGUGGGGAUCCUUCGAUUCUUGAUCCUCCGAUGUUUAAGUCAGUUCGAGCCUUGAGAACAGGAGUAGAAAAGAAUGAAAGAGCAAGAGAGAUUGAGGGAAACUGGAAGAGAACUAUGUGGAAACUAAGAGUAUGGCUCAAUUUUCUACCAACAGAGUCUUCUCUCGUUUCAGAGAGCAGAACUUACUGAUGGAAGAUCCCUGACCCUCUAUUUAUAGAGAGGUUGAGAAGGUCGUUCCAGAGUUUGUGAGACUGUUAAAGGAGUUUGUUAGAUGGUUAGAAAGCCAUCUGUAAGUGAGCUGGCUUACAGCUGUGUA